AUUGCGGGCUACUACACCGAUAAACAGAUAAGUGAUCGACAGCCAUCAGAGAGUGAUGAAAGCGUGUUCAGGGAGAGGGUGGCCAUCCAUUAUCGCAAAAUUAACUUCUUCUCCUUCGACUCCGAAGAUCGAAACGGUUGCUGCUCGUAUCAGGUCAACUCGUACCUUGCUAAUGGACAAGCAGUUGGACUUUCACCAAUACAGUAUGAAAUGAAGCUUUGUGACCUUGAUAAGAGAAGACGGACGAUGGAUCUAGUUUAUAUAAAAGCUCGCUGGGAUCCCCAGUUUUGUAUGAACGUUGUCAGUCAAGUGGGAUAUGGGGAGGGGGAGCUGCGAAUAGUCGGUGGGCGGGGAAGAAGACAUCGGUUCAUGGUUCCCCCCCUAGGUGGGAGCAAUUUCGAACAAGUUUACAUCUUCAAUGGGCCCAGGGUUCACAUCAUGAUGAAUAUUGACUGGUUUGCAACAUUUGUGGUUUGUGAGGAAAAGCCAGAGCUAUGCCCGGAACUGCAACUGAAUAAUACGAGAAGAAAUUCGGCUUGAGAAGAGGCAACUUACACUCAUUUACACUCAUUCUGAAAGUAAC